AUUGAACGCUGGCGGCAGGCCUAACACAUGCAAGUCGAACGAGUGGCGGACGGGUGAGUAAUGUCUGGGAGACUGCCCGGUAGCGGGGGAUAACUUCUGGAAACGGGCGCUAAUACCGCAUACUAUCAGCUGAGCCUAGGUGGGCUUAGCUAGUUGGUGGGGUAAAGGCCUACCAAGGCGACGAUCCCUACCUGGUCUGCUAGGAUGAUCAGCCACACUGGAACUGAGACACGCUCCAGACUUCUACGGUAGGCAGCAGUGUGGAAUAUUGCACAAGGUGCGCAAGCCUGAUGCAGCCCUGCCGCGUUUAUGACGAAGGCCUUCGGGUUGUAAAGUACUUUCAUCGGGGAGGCGUGACCCGCAGAAGAAGCCCCGGCUAACUCCGUGCCAGCAGCCGCGGUAAUAC
rnacentral:rRNA from 1 species